GUUCUUUGUUGCAUAGUCCUACAAUUCUACUAAUAAUACCAUUUUAAUAUGAUGAGCCCUGAAUGACAAAACAGUUCCUUCAAUGGAAACCUCACCCUAACAUUGGCCUUCAUACCAAGAGAAUCAGUGGAAUGGCAUGUGACAAAUGACUUGUCUGUAAAAUACUAAAAAAAGGAAAUGUUUAGAAUGUUUCUUAUUUGAAUAGAUCUGGUACCAGGAGAGUUUUACAUAUUUCCUUCAUUAACGUUAUUGUAUUAACGUCUCAAUAAGCAGAGCAUGUUCCGCAAGGUUUAUCUAUGAGACUUUCUCAUCUGUGCCAGGGCAGAAGGGGAGGGCUUGUAGAAGCUGCAGAUAUCAGAU